AAGGAAUAAGUAGGAUCACCGAGAUGAUCUAUUCUUAUUUUUGAUAUUACCUACACAUAUUUCUUUGUAAUUUAUAUUAUACUUCUUUUUUAUUUUUCUUGUUAUCUUAAUCACUGUCUCACAUUUUGAAAACCUUUUGCUUUUUAUCAGUCUUACGAAACAAUCGCAUAUAUGUAUGUCAUCAUCAUCAUCAUCAUCAUCAUAUAUAUAUUUGUUUAUUUAUUUAUUUAUUUAUUUACUUAGUUAGUUAUUAAAAAAAUGUCUGACGAACAUAUUAUUUCAAAAGAAAAAAGGACACACAAUUUUUGAAUUACUUUACUACGGCGUACGAUAAUGAUCAUAAAUUGACGUGUCGCUGUAUAGAAAUAAUAUCAAUCUCUUUUCAAGGCAAUUCUCUUUUUUAUUUCUCAAAUCUUUACUUCGCAAAUAUAUUACAUAUAUACGUAUAUCGAUCGAAAACGUCGAAGAAAGAAAGAUCCAGAAGAAAAAGAAAAAGAAAAAGAAAAAGAAAAAAAAAGCAAAGAUUAUAUUCGUAAAUAUCUAACACGAAGAGUAGCGCGAUGUUUCGCACAUUCUUUCUCUCUGCCAUUUUUAACGUUUCUCGUUCCACGUUCCUCUGAUUCAAGGAACUCUUGCAGUCUUCCAAGAAGACGCACGGUAUUUGGAGAUUGGACUAAGCGAAUGGGAAAUAAAUGAUGGUACGGUGAUAUACACGAUGGAAUCAGUAAUAUUUUUCUCUCUUUCUCUCUUUCUCGAUAUAUUUGAAGGUGGAUGGAAAAAGAAAAAGAAAGAAAGAAAAAAAAAAGGAGAAGACGAAUAAAAAGAAGAAAGAUAGAAAAAGAGACAGAGAAAGGGAAUUCGUAGCUCUCCUUUCCUCGAAAGCUAGUUUGGCGCAGACGUCCUUGAAAUUCGUGAGAUCGGAGAACAAUCGUCCAUGGGUACCGUCCUUGGUUCAGUGGCGCCGGCUGGUCCCCACCAUCCCUCCCUUCUUUGCUAUCACUACCACCUCCACCAUCACCUCCACCACCACCACCACCACCACCACUACCACCACCACCACCACCACCACCACCACCACCACCACCACCACCACCACCACCACUACUACCACCACCACCAUCACCAUCAGCAUCAGCUUCGACGGCGCACACAAGCAAACGUUCCUUUGCUCCGAGAAGACUUCAGCGUCUAUCCUCGAGUUUCAUUUCGUUUACGGCUUUCCGUGUUGCUGCUGCAAGCUACUACACUACUACACUACUACUACACUACUACUAUUACUACUACUGCUACUACUACCACCACAUUACCGUUGAACCUUCUCGAGGAUCGUUCAAGGACGAUUCAGUUCGACUCACCCGCGUCGUUGCCGGGUUAACACGUGAAAGAAAGAGAGAGAGAAAAAGAUAAAAAUUAAAUAUAAAAUUAAAAAGAGAAUCGCAGCGUGUUAACGAAAAAAAAAAAAAAGUUUCAAGGCCGGAUUGAACAUUCGAAUUCGUGUCGCGAAUCCAUAUUUCUUUAUAGUGAAUCAUCGAUCGAUUGGUUUCUUCAGGGUUUUCUUUUUCUCUUUUUUUUUUUUCUUUCUUUCUUUUUUUCUUUGAAUGAAGUUAGAGAAAGAGAAAAAAAGAGAGCUCGUGAUUGUGGUGAAUUUUUAUCGUUGUUUUCUUUCUUUUUGAUUACUGGCUAUUAUCAGAUAUUUUUUAUUCUCAGUAGUCAGUAUGCAACGUUUUGUACGAAUAUUUUAUUGAAGAAGUGAGAGAAGUGAUACGAGAUCUAACCUAACUUUCUUCGUCGAUGCCACUUGUUUCUUAUUGGAUGACGACGACGACGACUACGACACAACAAUGAUAAUGAUGCUGUUUCUGCUGCUAUUGCUGACGACGAUGAUGAUUAUUAUGACAAUGAUUAUUAUGAUAAUGACGAUGAUGAUGUUAUAUGGCUGCUGGUCUUCUUCGAUUACGUUUGAAAAUGAUAUUUUGCGUAUAGAUCAAUCCAGCACGAGUUCGAUCUUUCCAAUAAUUGCGUGGGAUUGAUCGUAGGUUGCUUUGGAAAGUAUCUUUGAAAUUGCUAUUUCUGUACGGUGACAACGACCGAUUAGUUUUCAACGAAUCAUACUUAGUCUAUGUAUAACUACUGCAAUGACAUAGUCGUCGUCGUCGUCGUCGUCGUUGUCAUCAUCAUCA